rnacentral:rRNA from 1 species
UAGAGUUUGAUCAUGGCUCAGGACGACCGUUGGCGGCGUGCUUAACACAUGCAAGUCGAGCGGAAAGGCCCUUUCGGGGGUACUCGAGCGGCGAACGGGUGAGUAACACGUGAGUAAUCUGCCCUUGGCUUCGGGAUAACUACCGGAAACGGUGGCUAAUACCGGAUAUGACACCUUCUGGCAUCGGGGGGUGUGGAAAGUUUUUUCGGCCAGGGAUGUGCUCGCGGCCUAUCAGCUUGUUGGUGGGGUAAUGGCCUACCAAGGCUUCGACGGGUAGCCGGCCUGAGAGGGUGACCGGUCACACUGGGACUGAGACACGGCCCAGACUCCUACGGGAGGCAGCAGUGGGGAAUAUUGGACAAUGGGCGGAAGCCUGAUCCAGCAACGCCGCGUGAGGGAUGACGGCCUUCGGGUUGUAAACCUCUUUCAGUACCGACGAAGCGCCGAUGAUGGUGGUGACGGUAGGUACAGAAGAAGCACCGGCCAACUACGUGCCAGCAGCCGCGGUAAUA